AGCCACAUAAAGACAGAGACACACAGGGAGAACGCCAUCUGACCAAGGAGGCAGAGACUGGAGUGAUGUAGCUGCAAGCCAAGGAAUGUCAAGGAUUGCUGGCCAACUACCAGAGGCUAGGAAGAGGGUGGUGCCCUGAAAUGCUCAAGUUCAUGCGCCUUCCUCCAGUCCCACGGAGUCAGGCCAGCUAACCAUUCAUGCUCUUGAGCUAUCUACAGAGGCUGACAUUUGCCUUCUGCGGGAGUGUGCAUAGGGAGCCAGUCAUGGGUUGCAGCAGAUGGAGUUUCACUCUCGUCGCCCAGGCUGGAGUACAAUGGCACGAUCUCGGCUCACUGCAACCUCCACCUCCCCAGUUCGAGUGAUUCUCCUACCUCAGCCUCCCAAGUAGCUGGGAUUACAGCUUCCAUAAGUCAGGAUUCCAGUCACAGCUUAGCUGGAUCCUCUCAGAAGGCUACGAUCAAGGUGUCAGCCAGACUGAGUUCUCAUCAGAGGCUCGACUAGGAGAGGAUCUGCUUCCAAGUUCCCUCAGGUUGUUGGAAGGAUUCAUUUUCUUGUGGCUAAGCUCACAGGAGCUUUCUUCUUCAAGGGCAUCAGGAGAGUGGAGAGCAAGUCUACUCAAAGACUUCUAUACAAAUCACAAGACAUCAAGUACUCUUCAACUGCCUAUUGGGAGACAAUUUCCACAGCUCUGUCAUGUUUCUGCACAACUUGUAAGCAAGACAAGACUCUCUUAUCUUCUGGACUCUAUUUUCAAGAAUACUCAUAUAGUGAACAGUGUCUUCUUCCUGAGCGAAGGGCAUAAAUGCUACUUUCCAUUUUAAAAGAUUCAAGUUCCCUAAGCUUGGAGUUCUUCUGUAAUGCAACCCAUUGUGUGUGCAGGUAUCACCUGGCAUUCUUCCCAUUACCCUGUGGGAAUUGGAGCUCAGGGAACCUUCAUAGAAAUUCUGAUAGUCUAGCUACUGCUAUUUCUAUGAGUAAUAAAUUGUUUCUGACCCAGAAGUCUUGUGUCUUCUGCUGGCACCCAUGAAAUUAUGAGGCUAAAUUGUUAGGUUACAAGUGGGAUAAAAUCUUGGACGCUUCCCAGUUCUUGACACUGACUAAAAUACAUGCAUAUUCGUUUUAUCAAGUCAGUUUGAAAAAAAAUCUAUGAAUUAAAAUAAUUACAAAAUUCUAGGGACUGAAUUUGUAAUAUAUUGGAUGAACAAAGCCCUCUACCUUGGUUCUGAAAUUCUUGAUAGUUGAAAUAUGUGUAACAUUUGUAAUUUGAAAUACACAAGUAAUUCUCUAUUUAAAAGGUCAUAUAUCCAAAGUAUUGAAAAAUCUAGAAUACAUUAAACUUUAGCUAUCCAUGGUGAAAGGCAGUGGCAAAACAGCUGCAGAAAAGCUGAAACUAGAUUCAAUUAAAUCUUUGUGCCAAAACCAAGUGCACAAAAAUCUCCCAAAGCUGUUAAAACUAUACAGCUUAUUUGCUAUAAAUUUUAUAAAUGGUUAAAUAAAACAAGUUUUGAAGUAAUUUGGUAAAUUGACAAAUUUUUCACUCAUUGAUUUGUUGUAGCUCAUGAGGGAUGGUGGGGAGUGGAGAAGGGUUCAGAGAACUUGGGAAGGAUAUAAAAAUGGAGGUAUGUGGGGCAAAUGCCCCCAACUACAUGUCUUAAUCAAGAACACCAGCCUAUGGUCAAGGGAAUUUUCAUAUACAGGUGAGAGCUAGUCUCACUUGAUCUUUCUGCAUUAAAACUGUUACAAAGCAACUUCUUUAUCAAAUGAAUACAAUCACAUUUAGUAGAGGCUCUAGUUAAGACCUGAGGCUAUACUGACCUGGGUUAGAGACCUGGCUUUUACAUUUUUACCUAAUCUCUCUAAGCCUUAAUUUCUCAGUUUUAAAAGUGCAGGUAAUCAUAGCAUGUGUUUCCCAAGGAUGUUGUAAAGAUUAGUGUCGGGAUGGCUGAGUGGUGUAAGGCACCAGACCCAAGGAUGUUGUAAGGAUUAAUUGAAAUAUCCACUUAAAUUGCUUAGCAUGAUACCUGCUAUGUAGAAAGUGCUUGAUAGCCGUAACAAUAUAUAUCAUUUAGAAAUUUCCUUGGAAUGGGAAUUUCAAACAACUUUAUCAAAUAUACUUACUUCCUCACUUACUUUUGUGGUUUGGUAGCUUUUUCUUUACACAUUUAGGAGGUGGGGAAGCACAGAGAUAUAGCACUUUCUUUUUUUUUUCUUUGAGACAGAGUCUCGCCCUGUCACCCAGGCUGGACUGCAGUGGCGCCAUCUUGGCUCACUGCAACCUCCGCCUCCCAGGUUCAAGCUAUUCUCCUGCUUCAGCUUCCUGAGUAGCUGGGACUACAGGUGCACGCCACCAUGCCUGGCUAAUUUUUGUAUUUUUAGUAGAGACGGGGUUUCACCAUGUUGGCCAGGAUGGUCUCGAUCUCCUGACCUCGUGAUCCACCCGCCUUGGCCUCCCAAAGUGCUAGGAUUACCGGCGUAAGCCACCGCACCUGGCCAGAUAUAGCACUUUCUAAAAGGUCUAUAAAUCUUUCUAAAGAUUAAUAUUGAGUGGGAUCAAUGUGUUUUAGGGAAUCCAGAUACUGCACGCCACUUUGCAAAUGUUUAGAUUUUAGCAGAACAACAAAUGGACUUUGCAAAGACUGUCUUUUAAUUAUUAAACCUCUAUUUAUUAAAAAGAAAUUAGGCCAGGCACAGUGGCUCACGCCUGUAAUCCCAGAACUUUGGGAGGCCGAGGUGGCUGGAUCACCUGAGGUCAGGAGUUCAAGACCAGCCUGGCCAACAUGGUGAGACCACAUCUCUACUACAAAUACAAAAAUUAGUCGGGCAUGGUGGCAGGCACCUGCAAUCUCAGCUACUUGGGAGGCUGAAUGAAUUUACAGAUAGGAAGGCACACAUUAUAUAAGUUAAAAUUUAGUUCAACUAUGAGUGACAGAAAACCCUAAUGAGCAGUAGCUUAAACAUACAGUGUUUACUCCCUCAAACAAAAUGUCUGCCUGAUAUGUAGCUGAUGUGAGGCUCCAUGGUGUCAGGGUCCCAGGUUUCUUUUAUCUAUGGCUUUGCAUCUUUAUCACGUGAACCAUAAUGACUGCUUGAGCUUCUUGUGGUCUAAAAUGGUUUCUUGAGUUUCCUAUCCCCAUCCAGUCAGAAAAAAAAAAAAAAGGAAUGACUGAUGAAGCGCUUGCUUUUAUUUUAAGAACACUUUCUACAAGUUGCACAUACCAAUUCUGUUUGCAUUCUUUUGGCCACAACUUACCUACUUGGCCAUGCCUAGCUUCAAGAGAAGAGAAAUGUAGUCAUUAUUUUGAGUAGUUAUAUGUCCAGAUGGAAAUCAGGGGAGCUAUCACACACACACACACACACACACACACACACACAGCACAAAACAGAUAUUGGGGACAACUCAUCUUCUUUGCCUCAUACACUGAAAUUAAGCCAGAUUGGUCUUGUUUUUGAAAGAAAGUAACACUGUUAGUAAGAGAGACCUUGGUAUUGUCUAAUCAAACUUCUCUCUUUUUGUGGAUGAGACUCAUGUUGUCUGAGUUCAAGUUCAGAUAUCACCCAUUCCUUGAGCUUGUAUAUGUGAUACUACACACUACAACCUAGCACAGAGAGGAUGAGAAAACAAGAAAUGAGAACUUAGGUGUUACUUAGUAUUUAUUUAUAAUAGUAGUUUUAAAAAUGCUGUCUUGACACAGUUUUGAGGCCCUGGAAAUAACAUUUUAAAGUAAAAAUGUUAAAGUUUAAAGAAGAGCUUUGCCACUUAAACGGGGGAGUUUGUCUGGAAAAUAUAUUGAGUUGAAACACUUCAUCCUUGGAAGGAUUAUAUACGAUGAACAAUUGCGUAUAAAUGUGUGUUUUAGAGCGAUGUGAACGGGCAGUUAGUCCAGUGCCCUCAUUUAAGAGGCCAAAAUCCUGACUCAGAGGAGGUGUCCUUUGCCCAGAGCUUCUUAGCUAAUCUGACCAAAUGUUGGGAAAUAUAUCUUACCUAACCCACUAUUCCUUAAUUAUGGAUUUUGUGAAAAACAAUAAAACAUGUUAAUGAGUAAUUUAUAUUAGUUCAAUUUAUUACCAUUUUUUAGCUUUAAAUUACAGUUUUCUUAUAAUGAUGAAAUGUUUUAGAAUCCUUUGAAUCUAAGUAUUUACUUAUUUCCUAAAUAAAACAUUAGUACAACAUUUGAUGUUUUACUUAUGAAAUAUCCUCCUCUCCCAAGAUAAUUAAAACUUUUUCUCUCUAUUUAAAAGCUAAGAAAUGAUGUUUUAAAGGAAAAAUGAAGUUAUUUUCUUUUAGCUUCUUUUAAGGUAAAACAGCUUUUUUACUCUGUUAUUGUGGUAAUGGACAGAAAAUUGCAUACAAAAAUAUUCUGGGAGAGCAUUCUCCUAGUUGGUUUUAAAUCACUGUGCUACCUGAAAGGUUUUUUGAUUUUAUAGGAGCUAUUUUGUCCACCAGCAUUAAUGUGACACUAGUUAUGAAAAUAUAUUGAAGGACAAGAAGUGGACACAAAGUGAUUUUUGUAACCUGGGCAGUUAAUGAAUGUGCCAACGUUUUCGAGGAAGGGACAGCAAGAAUAUUUUGCCCUGUAGUUAAAAUACUGGCUGGCUUUUAAUGUCUUCAUGCUUAAUCGUGAUCACUUUCUUGCACUGUGAUGUUUUUACGUGAACAUGUUAAAAUGGAAGUCUACCAUAUUACUUUAUAAAAUGUUUUCUGUAUGCCAAUAAACUGAAAAUAUGGAACAACAACAACAACAACAAAA